GAUUGUUGGUGUAUUUGAGAGUUGCGGGUAUAAAUCCCAAGUCCUUGGCCUGUGUCAGAGGUUCUCCAGCCAGCAGAACAGUGACGUGUUUACCCAUGUCAGUCUGACCUGCAGUGUGAUUUCAGUCGGACUUAGGUUUGAGCAGCAGUAGCAACUUUGAGCAGGCUGAAGAGCAGUAGGCCAGCCGGGUUGUGGCAUGUACGUUGGAUUGCGUGCGGCCAGCAGUAACAGCCUGGCUGGUCAGGCCCUGAUCCACCGGGAGGCCUGUCGAGGACAGUGCCGCGGGGGCGUUGACCCCCGGAACACCCUCCAGUCCAGGUGAUGCAGUUACAACCAGACUUGAGUCAAGUGGGAAGUGAAGUUCGUCUAAUUAGUUCCUGAUCAGACGAGCUGUGGUGCAUACGUUGGAUUAAGUGUUGCUAGUCCUAAUAGCCUGAUUGAUCAGGCCAUCAACCAGGAGGUCUAGUCUGGGAGCCGACCACUGGAUUAUCUGAGGUCUUACAAGCCUGAAUGUAAGGUCUUACAAACCUUAAUCUAAAAUCUUACAACUAAAUUUAAAAUGAUCCGUCCUAACGUUAGUUACUGCCUGGAUAACUCAUUAAAAUUAAAUCCGAUCCUCAUUUAUACUGUAACAAUCACCAUCCUAACGCAUCACAUCUACAUUAUCACAAUCAUCAUCCCAACACAGCAUCACAUUUCAUUCACUGGUUUCAGAGAAACCACAUUGGAACAAAAUCUAUCUACUGUUACAAGCAGGUAUAAAUUAUUCACUGUUAUUAAAGUUGAACCCCCAACACUAGACUGUUUCUCUUCUAUCAUUCUUUCAUGGAACUGGAGCUAUCCUGUUCCUUGGAUCAAACCAGGUUACCUCUCGUUCUCCAUAUGCUAUUACUCAUUAUUAUAUUAUUCAUUCUCACAAACUACGACUUCUGGGUACUUGCAGUUAUCAUGGGAAUAUUGCAUACAGGAGCCAUUAGCCAUGAAUCGACCCUUGCAAACACAACUAGGUAAGUACAUACGUUGUACAAUAGUUAACAACUUAAAUUCAUAAAUGUAUCAUCACAUCCAGUACCUGACCUCCAUAAUUAUGUUGUAUUAUUAUUAUUAUUAUUAUUAUUAUUAUUAUUAUUGUAGACCAUAGCUCAAAGCGACUUAGAUCUCUUAAACUAAAGAGAAUGGUGAAGCCUCAGUGCAUAUACACUGAGAUACAUAUAAUCUCAUUGAGUAUAUUAUUUACACACACAUAUACAGUACUUCUUGUUCUAAACGAGUACUCACCGCCUCAGAGAAGAGAGUAAACUUCCUUCAGCGAAAAAUCUGGAGGUAUAUCUCUGGAGGUAUCCCUACACAUAUCUACAUGUAUACUCACAUUGGUAAACUGGUCAAUAAUACAUGUCAACUCAUGCUUCCGUGGUAUACCGAUCCAUAACUUGUAAGGUAUCCCCUCGGUAUGUCUUAACAUAUGAGUGUUCCUUACAUAAACCAAAAUCCACCACUGGUACCUUUGCCUUUGAUGAGUUUCGAAGGUAUAUCAAAAGUAAAGUUACCAGUGGUGGUGGUGUUUUAUGUAAGGAAUACUCAUAUGUUAAGACUUAUACUGAGGGAUACCUUACAAGUGAUGGAUCUGUGUAUCACAAAAGCAUGAGUUGUGCAUUAUUGAUCAGUUUACCAGUGUGAGUAUACAUGGAUAUAUAUGUAGGGAUACUUCCGGAGAGAUACUUCCAGAUUUUUCCCCAAAGGAAGCUUAGUCUCUUCUCUCAGGCGACGAGUACUGGUGCAGAGCUGCAGUACUGAUGCAGAGCAUUAUAAAAUGAAUACCACAAAACAAUGUCACGGGGCUUUUGUCAAUGUAUGGUUUUCCAAAAAGAAUAAUUCAGGUUCGAUACUCCGUCUGGUAACCUCGAGAGAGACCAACCCAACUAUACAAACUUUAAGUUUGCAGUACUUAGCAAAAUCAUCACUGAGAUGUGGUAUUUGAGAAAUCCACUUUGUCUCGUUAAAUACUUUUCCAUCAUUUAGUGGAGACAAUAACAACUGCUGCAGCCCACCAUCAUUCCUAUGUGUAUGUUUGUGUGAUACCCGUGAACGGUUUCGCGAGUUUUACUACUCCCUGGCCAUGGACCAGGCUUGUCUGAUGCUUACCCGACUUUCAGCCACUCAAGACUUCUGCACUUUCCCGUGAAUAUAAUAAUAAUACCUGUGAAAUCGCAGUGUUGCUGUUAUUCUUUUCCUUUUCUCAGUAAGCGUGGUUGGACAGGGAUGGGCAGGGUGGGGUAGAGUGACCCUUCCUACACCCUGCAAAACUCUUGGAGGUUUUGUGCCUAAUCGUCAAUCACUCCACCAUAAAUCACUCAAAAAGAUCAGAAGAGCCUAAAAGCGUUUGACACUCGACCACCUUAAUCGAAAAACUUUGGCUAAUGCUUACCGGCGGCACCUUUACCCAACUCCCGCUAAGAGCCAACCGUAAUGAAUCCCUUUUAAUGGAACGUCUUACCUUCCUAAUGAUAUGAAAGCGAUCGCCAAGUUUUGCAUAAAAGACUAGACUAAUGGCCUCUCGUAAUACUGAAAAAUAGAGCCAAACUUUUUGGGGGGACUUUUUCCUCUCCGCUGAAGAUUUUGGAGAGGCCUCCAGAAGAAAAGUUUGGAGUACCGAUGGAGACGAAACAUUUAUUUACUCUGAAGGUGGUGACUCGUUCGUGGUAGUGACGAAUGUUGGUAGCUCGUGGUGGUGAACAGUUCACGAGACAAUAAUCAGAAUCAGAAUAGCGAAAAGAUGCAGUGAGGGGAUGUGGGGAAUAGUUUUACCUUGAUUUAUCUUUGAUGAGUUCCGAGAGUUUUUCUACUCUCGAAGCCCAGCCAUGGGCCAGGCUCGUCCGGUGUUUGACUGGUCAAUCAGGCUUUUGCUGCUGGUGGCCCGCUGCCCCACACAGCGGAAGAACAGAUCUGGGGAGAGGAAUGAACUGUCUUGAAGAGUAGAGAAAGUGGCAGUGUAUGACCCAGCUUCGAGUGAUCUGAGGGCAUUUAAAGCCACAUUUGUUUUAGUAGUGACCUGAAUUGGUCUGGGUGGGCUGCGCCAGGUCUGCAGUGGCGAGUCAGAAACAAACGCACAGCCCAGCUUGUCUGGGUUAAACAAGAUCGUAAGAGAAACAUGGUACAACAUAUACGAAGAAAAACAAAACACCCAAAUGACCUAGGCCGUAUAACAUUCAUAUAUUUUAUUCAGCCAGUCCACAGCUAGAGACCAACCCACUAAUUGGUCCACUUCAAGCUCGCUACUAUAUCACUGCCUGCAUCAAUUUAAAACCCAGUACUAUUAUUAUUAUAAUCAAAAAGAAGCGCUAAGCCACAAGGGCUAUACAGCAAACCCAGUACUAGAACUUCCUGACUCAUUACAAAUGACCACUUCAGAUCGCUACUGAUGCGCUUUAUGCUACCCUUAACAAAGACAGGAAUCUUUUAAGAGUAUAAAGGCAAUUUACUAAAGUAAGUUCCUAGUCAGCCAGGUUGUCAUGGAUAUGUGGGCCUGCGAGUUCUGGACUGCAAUAGCAUACAUAGUCAGUUAAUAAACAUGAAAGGCCAGGCUGCGAAACUAUUUGCAAGAAGCUUACAGCUUCUCGGCACAUGCCAUACGAAUGAAGUUUUCGCGGUGAAAAAUGAAAAUCAAAAUCCAAAUUUGUAUAUAAACCACCAGAUACAAGCAAAUAAAAAUCAUAUACUGAAAAUCUAGCAUAGCCUUGCAAACCUUUCAAUCUCGGUCCUAACCAUCCUGUUGCCUAUUGAUUUAAAUUAAAAACACAUAAAUUGGAAGAACAGAGCAAAUGCUUUAACAGCAGAGGUUCCACGAUGCAGUCUGGAUGAACAGACACAUUCAGAUAUACACACACUCAACCUUAUUUUCCAAAAUAAUAAGGAUCUGGUACGAACGUAACUAUGCCAACCACAGCAACCUCGGACCACAACCUGAGGUUCGGCUCUGCUUACACAGGAUUUGAGCAGCGACAAAUAAUCGUGAAGAUGUAUUCAACAAUACAUUAACAGGGACUAAAUAAACCUUGACCUUAUUGAAAUAAACUGAGAAAACAGUGACUACUUAUGUGGGUUUAAACCAGCGUCUUGACAGGACCUCAAUAACACUAGACGUGUACUCACCACAUACCAUUAACAAAAAAAAAAAAAAGAGAGAGAGAAGAGAAGAUGCAAGAAAGCGAUGCUUCCUCUACAGCAAGGACGAAAAAUGGCAAAACUUCUUAAAAGUUCCACACUUGCUCAUUAACAAAAAGAAACGCUGGUUUGAGAAAUGGAAAACACUGAGCUCAAACUGAAUACAUCACACAGACUCCAGGAGAGACGGAGAAAAAAGCCUUCAAUGAAAAUGAAAGAAACAAAAAUCUUUUUAUCAUAUGCUUAAUCAAAGACAAAAGCCACAUCUAGUAUCAGGCCUCUUGCUUAAAGGAGAUGGAACUUGCUAUAAUAACAAGGAAAUGGGCGAAAUAAUGAAGCCACAAUAAGAUCGUGUGCUCAGUGGGCCAUUAUCUAGAUUAAAGACUGACAAUCAACAGAAGUUGAUCACGUAUGAGAUGCAAAAUUCUGCCAGCAUCUCCAUAACUUCUGAUCCUAACAUCACUUAGAAGAAGUCACUGACAGUUUGUCCUUGGACUCUGUUCACAUAAUUGUUAAUGAGUGUGGGACAUACUCCACAAAGGUGGCAGUAAAUUAAUCGAAAUCAUUCCCUACAAAAACAGGAGACUCGGCAGAUACUGAGAAAUACUACCAAUAAAACCCAGGGGUGUAAUAAAUGCACUAAGAAAUAAUUUAAUAAGGUUAAUGGGACCAAGACUUCUCAGCAACCUCCCUUCGUACAUACGAGAAAUUACAACGACUUCAUGACCAGCCGGAUACAGUAGAUUGUGUACGGCUAUCACCAACAACCUGACUGAUAAGGCUGUCUACCAGACUCCCCUAUUUAAUGUAACUUGUGCAUCGUUUUAUAAAGCGUCUUGACCAGCAUCUUGACAGGACCUCAAUAACACUAGACGUGUACUGACCAUAUACCAUUAACAAAAAAAGCGUACAGCGAAGAUCGCGCCAUGAUUGGCAAGCCUCAGACACACCACAAGAGUAAGCUUCCUCAUUGGCCAGUUUUAAACACGAACCUAGAAAUUGCGUCCCUGAUUGAUCAGUUUUAAACAGCCUGGAAAUCGCGCACAUGAUUGGUCCGUUUGAGAGUGCCACUUCUCCGCCUUGCCAAAAAAUAAAUGAUGAAUUAAUGGAGCUGAGUCGGCAAUUAAGGGUCAUUUAUUAUUCAGAAGACACGAGUGAGGUGUGAGGUGAGACACCGCCCUCCAGUCACUAGAGAAGAACCAAUACCAUCAUCACGUUAUUGUCAGAGAUGAUGUAAAUCUUGAAUGAAAAUACUUUAAUCCUGAACUAACUUGUAUCCAUAAAAAAACACUGAAUACUUCAGAUAAUUUUAUGUUUAAUAAAUACAAA